GUUGAUUUCAUUAUUUUUUCUGAAGAGUUUUGUCUAUGAUCAAUUAAAGCAAUUUAUAUGGUAUAGUACAUUCUCAGUAUAACUUUUAUGAGUUCGUUGUUUUGACACUCGAGCUUCUAUUCUGACAAACAGAUUCACUACUGUGGAGUUUCAAGUGAGGUAAUGAACCAAAAUAACUCAUCAAUCCCAUUUUAAUGCUUAAGUAUGGAACAAGUAGCCAUUAAGUAGAUUUUUGUGAGAAG
rnacentral:misc_RNA from 1 species